rnacentral:rRNA from 1 species
CGCCGUCUUGCGAUGUACCGCAAGUCUGAGGAGCAACGCCGCGUGAGUGAAGAAGGUUUUCGGAUCGUAAAGCUCUGUUGUUGGUGAAGAAGGAUAGAGGUAGUAACUGGCCUUUAUUUGACGGUAAUCAACCAGAAAGUCACGGCUAACUACGUGCCAGCAGCCGCGGUAAUACA